CAGAGAGCUGUGAUAGUUUUUACAAUCUCAACUGCCUACUGUUUGGUCUGACUGUCAAGAAGCGGCAGGAACUCUCGGCCCCACCCCGACCCAGGGAUCGAACUCAGGACCUUGCACUAGUGAGGCAGGCACGGCACCACUGAGCUAAAUCCCCUGCCCCAGUGCUGUCCUGUCUUGGAACCUGCAGACUAUGGACUGAAACCUCUACAAACUGGAAAACAGCAUGCUUGAAGAUGAGACCAUGUGGAACAGAAUGAAACCCAGGUAUCUGCACUGUGGCCCCAGAUAUGAGAGGCACUUGGCCAAGAUAACUGCAGAUGUACAAAUUUUCAGAUAAUUCAGUCUGUGGUCAGCUGGAUCCAAGGUGGGAACAUCAUGGCAGCUGAGCAUGGUUUCAUAAGGUUGAACAGGUGACCCGGCGGGUGCGCGACCUCCUGGACUGUGUGACAAACACCCAG